GGCGGGGCUUCAGCUUGUAUACAUCAUACUUAAAUUUCAUUGGACGUUAUGUCGGAGGUUAAGGACACUAAAUUUUAAAACAUCACAUGACAUAUUCUCACAUGUUUCCUUACCUGUAAAAAUACAAUACAGACAGGAUUCUACUUCGUCGAAAUUAUUUUCCUAUUACGCCAGUUCAUUUUCACAAUCGUAGAAACGGAAUACAAUUUUUUUUCAGAGAUCCAACUUAAAGACUGUCGUCAAGCACUUUUAGUAAAAUAGCUAUUCGAACACACCUACUCUGAUUUUGUGAUCCAUUGGAUAGGUAUUUAACUUGACCCCUAUAUUUCAUCUUUUAGUACUGUGAUUUUUUUUAUGUUAUGAAGUCAACCUGUAGCUUUGCUAUAUAAAAUGAUAGAGUCUGAAGCGAGAUGAUGUAUCAAAUACUCUUGUUUUGUACAUUUUCAAGACAAAAUAUUCAUCUCAAACACACCCUAACAUAAAAAAAGGUGCACUCGAUUUUCUCUUUUCGAUACAAUUGUUUCCCAUUUUUUGAA
rnacentral:lncRNA from 1 species